rnacentral:tRNA from 1 species
GGUUGUGGCUCAGUGGUAGAGCAUUUUCCUAGCAUGCAUGAGGCACUGGGUUCAAUCCCUAGCACCA